rnacentral:lncRNA from 1 species
GGCUUGGCCACACUCCCGGCUCAGGGUCUUGUCUGGUUCCCUUUGCAGAGAUGGGCCGCAGCCGGAAAGCAGCACCCCGAAUCCAUCAGGCUACCUCCCGCAAGCCUAGGAAGAGCCUAAACUGGGUGGAGCAGAUCAACGCCAGAGAGACCAAGUCGGGCAGCUCCAAGAAGAGUGUUCUGGCCAUCUCCAAGCCAUCGCAGCAGCUGGUGCGCUGGACCCGACCAGGAAUGACAUGGCUGUUCUGGGCAACACGGCGUAUUUCUAGUGCCGGGGGCACGGUGCAGGGGAGCGCGGGGGAGCCAGCAGGGUCUUUGCCCCAUCCCGCUGGCUGGCUGGCCGUCACACAACAGCAUCCUUGACGAAUAAACCAGGCAGCUUUUAGGCCA